UGGGGAAUAUUGGACAAUGGGCGAAAGCCUGAUCCAGCCAUGCCGCGUGUGUGAAGAAGGUCUUCGGAUUGUAAAGCACUUUAAGUUGGGAGGAAGGGCAUUAACCUAAUACGUUAGUGUUUUGACGUUACCGACAGAAUAAGCACCGGCUAACUCUGUGCCAGCAGCCGCGGUAAUACAGAGGGGGCAAGCGUUAAUCGGAAUUACUGGGCGUAAAGCGCGCGUAGGUGGUUUGUUAAGUUGGAUGUGAAAUCCCCGGGCUCGACCUGGGAACUGCAUUCAAAACUGACUGACUAGAGUAUGGUAGAGGGUGGUGGAAUUUCCUGUGUAGCGGUGAAAUGCGUAGAUAUAGGAAGGAACACCAGUGGCGAAGGCGACCACCUGGACUAAUACUGACACUGAGGUGCGAAAGCGUGGGGAGCAAACA
rnacentral:rRNA from 1 species